UACGAAGGGGCUAGCGUUGCUCGGAAUCACUGGGCGUAAAGCGCACGUAGGCGGAUUGUUAAGUCAGGGGUGAAAUCCUGGAGCUCAACUCCAGAACUGCCUUUGAUACUGAGGAGACUUGAGUCCGGGAGAGGUGAGGUGGAACUGCGAGUGUAGAGGUGAAAUUCGUAGAUAUUCGCAAGAACACCAGUGGCGAAGGCGGCUCACUGGCCCGGUACUGACGCUGAGGUGCGAAAGCGUGGGGAGCAACAGGG
rnacentral:rRNA from 1 species